rnacentral:lncRNA from 1 species
GUGUAAAUGAAGAGGUGCCUGAAAAAUGUAAUUUCCUCUUUGUAGCCAUUUCAUUAUCUUCCUAGAUUUUGUCAGUCACUGCCACAGAGAUUCAGCAAGGCUGUCUUGUAAUCACCACUGGUGUCAUCCACAAUCAUGCUGGAGAGAGGUUGUCCUGCAAUCCGCCUGAAUUCAUCCUUGAUAAGAUUUAAGUCAACUUCAUUUCGAGAAACAAUCACCCUUAUCAGGGUCCCGUCAUCAGUGCCAGCCCCCUUUAAAGCAUGGUACAGCCUCUCUGCAAAGUAUUGACGGAUAUUCCUUGUGCAUCUCACAAUAGCCAGCAUAGCAUCCUCCAGUGAGCCUUUAGUUUCGCUCUUGAUACUGUCUUCUAUGCUUUUACCGGCAAGUUUCUGGUAUUCUUCAAACACUUUCAGCAAGUGUGUAGCACUCCUCUUGCACAGAAUGGUGAUGAACUGUAUCUCAUCAGUGCCCUUUAUCUUCUCCCCAGCAGAAAAGAGAGUCUCUGCAUCCUGGCGAGCCAAUGCUGUAUCCACGUAGAGAGAGGCAUUGUCCCUCUCACCCUGAAGAAGGCAAACUAGAAUCUGUUUGAAGUAGCCACUUGUUUCUGAUGCUAUGUCGUGCUCCAGAUCAGAACCAUAAUCUUCUUUGUAUGCCUUGAUAAUCUCUUUGAUCUGCGCCUUUGUUCGUGAUGCCAGGAUCUCUAUGAUAACAUCUUCACUUGUUCCCACACCCUUCAUGGCAUCAUACAGCUCCUUGGCUUCAUAUUUGUAUGGGGGGUACAUGAGAGCUACAAUGAGCCUCUCAAAGUUGCCACUCAAUUCAGAUCUCAGGCUAUCAAUCAGAUCCUUUCCAAACUGUGCUUUGAAGGAUUUGGCAAUCUCUUGCCGCUGCUUGUUGCUCCUCUUGGUUAGGACUUCAAUUAUAGCUUGUUCAUCAGUCCCAAGCCCUUUCAUGGCCUUGUAGAGAG